rnacentral:misc_RNA from 1 species
AUGCUGGCGGAAUGCUCGAGCUGCUCGCGCGGCGAGAGCGGGCCGCCGCGUGCCGGGCGGGGGAUGGACCGGGAACGGCCCCCUCGGGGGCCUUCCCCGGGCGUCGAACAACCGACUCAGAACUGAAUCCAAGCUAGCAACCGGCGCCUCUGCUCGCCGCCCGCCCCGACCCACGUUAGGGCGUUCGCGCCCCAAGGGCCCGUGCCAUUGGCUCAGCCCGCCCGGCCGACGCGCCGCGGCGGGCCGCCUCGAAGCUCCCUUCCCAACGGGCGGCGUGCUGAAUCCUUUGCAGACGACUUAAAACGCGAUAGGGGCAUUGUCUCCUCGGCCGAGCCCCGCACCCCCUCGCGGCCUAGCCGUGGCCGGUCGGCACCCUACCGCGCCCAGCUCCGGCUGGCGCUGUUGGCUUCCUGGCCGGCCGUGGUUCGGCCGUGA